AACUCGACUCCAUGAAGUCGGAAUCGCUAGUAAUCGUGGAUCAGAAUGCCACGGUGAAUACGUUCCCGGGCCUUGUACACACCGCCCGUCACACCAUGGGAGUGGGUUGCAAAAGAAGUAGGUAGCUUAACCUUCGGGAGGGCGCUUACCACUUUGUGAUUCAUGACUGGGGUGAAGUCGUAACAAGGUAACCGUAGGGGAACCUGCGGUUGGAUCACCUCCUUACCUGAAAGAAGC
rnacentral:rRNA from 1 species